AAUCUUCAAAGUAAACCUUUUGUUAAUUCAAUUGGUUCCUUACUUUGGUAUUGGAGGUCUUUGCAGUUUCACAACUGCUCCUCUUUGUUCAUUAGCUGGAUCUCAGUGUUAUGCUUGGUUCCACUCGGCGUGAUAAGUAUCUAUCGCUGAGGACACUUGUAAAAAGGUGGCCAAGGUAAAUGCAGAUGAACCGCUUCUAACAGUCCAUUGACUUGGACAAUAAAUAUUUAUG
rnacentral:misc_RNA from 1 species